rnacentral:rRNA from 1 species
AUGGUGACAACAAGGUUCAAAUCUGUUGCUGUGGCCUGCUGCCGUCGAAAUGGUCGUCUGCAUGAGCAUAAGAAGCUUCCUGACGAGAACUCCUACAAAUUGUUUCGUCAAAUCAUCUCAGAUUUUUCAGAUAGUCCAAUUAAAGCUGCACCUGAUGGUCAAAUUACCUUUGCUUCUGUUAAUCUCACAGGAGAUGAAAGAGCUCUUUUGAAGAAAUGUGGUGGUUUGCCUUUGGCCAUAAUAGUCGUAUCAGGUCUUGUGGCUAGUAAACUGAGAUCAGGCACAACCUCGAAGACAUUAGAUGAGCACUUACAAGAAGUAAACAAGGCUUUGAGUGGAGGGUUGGGAACUCAUCUUAGCACGGAAGGAGUGAAAACAAUACUUAACCAGUGCUACAAUGACUUGCCGGCUGAUCUCAAGACUUGCUUGUUGUACUUGAGCAUGUUUCCCAAGGGCAUCUUCAUCAGCAGAAAGCGUCUAAUCCGAAGGUGGAUAGCGGAAGGGUUUAUCAUUGAGAAGCAUGGGAGAACUGUUGAGGAAAUAGCUGAAGACUACUUCAGUGAACUCAUCAACAGGAACUUGAUUCGGGCGGUCAACAACAGCAGCAACGGCAAGGUGAAGAACUAUCAAAUUCAUGACAUGGUCCUUGAGUACAUAGUUGCCAAGUCUAGCGAUGAGAAUUUCAUCACUGUGGUGGGUGGUCAUUGGCAGACACCAUUUCCGAGCUACAAGGUACGGAGACUGUCCGUCCACAGAAGCGCCCGAGAAGAAAAAAGGAUGGUGGAGAGGAUGAAGCUGUCACAUGUUCGGUCCCUGAUGGUAUUUGAGAGCUUUGCAGCAAUGCACUCCUGUUUGAGCAAGUUUCAGAUACUGCAGGUUCUCGAUCUUGAAAGUUGCAGAGAUUUGUCAUUCCAGCAGCUCAAGAAAAUAUGCAAAAUGCAUCAGUUGAAGUAUCUGAGCUUGCGCCAUACAGAUAUUGCGGUGAUUCCACCCGAAAUAGACAGGCUGGAGUAUUUAGAGGUGCUUGACAUAAGGGAUACUGAAGUCGGAGAAUUGCCUCCAUCGAUUGAGAAGCUUAACCGAAUGACCCAUCUGCUUACUGGAAAUAAAAGCAAACGGAAAGCACUGAUGUUGAGGAAAGAAAUCACAAAGAUGACGGCUCUUGAGACACUCUCUGGCGUGGGGAUAUGUGGAAGCUCAACUUCAGGCAUGGUUGAAUCCACCAAGGGUGCAGCCGGGGUGCGAACCACGGCUACUAGCCUACUGAAGGUGUCUAGGAGGGGCACUUGCUCCCUCAAGUUUCUUGCAAUUGAUGAUGGUUUCACCGGCUUUCUUGACAAAUCGUUAAGUUUAUCAAAAGCACCACCGGAGCACCUGCACUCCCUCGAGCUUUCUGGCCUGCUAUCAAAACUACCCGAGUGGAUUAAUCGUCUGCAUAGCCUAGAGAAGCUAACUCUGUCAUUAACUUCACUCAGGGCUGAUACUUUGGAGGUUCUUCUUGAGCUCCCUGAGUUGUUCUCUCUUACAUUUUCACUCGAUCCAACAAAAUUGAGUGAUGCAGGUGCUCUCAAAAUUCUGCAAAAAAAUGCACUGGAGUCAGACGGGGAGAUAUUUGUGCCACCCGGGGGCUUCAAAAGGCUUAAACUACUACGCCUUUUGGCGCCAUUGCUGCCAUCUUUAAGCUUCAUGGAAGGGGCAAUGCCAGCGCUCGAGAGGCUUGAGCUCAGGUUCAGGACUGCGACUGGUGUCUACUGCCUGCAAAACCUUGGGAACCUCAAACAAAUCCUUCUUACUGUGAGCAAUAAGGCUCCUAAAGCUGCUGAGGAGAUUAAGCGAUUGGUGAACAAAAUUGAGAAGAAUGCUCCCACUGUGGUCGUGGGCGAGUACAACGAAUCGUCAAUUGAGAAAUAA